rnacentral:lncRNA from 1 species
GUGAUUGUUUUUAUAUAACGUCAAUUGUAUAUGCAAAUUUAAAUGUCUGACUUUUCUAUGCGUUUUAUUUCGCAUUCAAUAUUCUUUGGUAUAUAUAUAUAAAAAAAAACCACACAUGAUUUAACGAUUUAGGAUGUAAAGUGUUGGGGUGAUUUUAUUUUUCUACACCCAACAUGAAAAUAACGUCAAGCCAACAUAUACUCUAUUGUGUAUUAUUGUUUUGUUCACACAUCGUUGACAAUAUAAAGUAAUUUGAUGCGACUGUCAUACAAGUAAAAGGUUUAACUAGCUAUAAAACCAGGUUCAAUCCACCAUUCUCUACAUCAGAAAAUGCCUGUACCAAGUCAGGAAUAUGACAGUUAUUAUCCAUUCGUUUGAUGUGUUUGAGCUUUUGAAUUUACCAUUUGAUUAGGGACUUUCCGUUUUGAAAUUUUAUAGGAGUUAAGUAUUUUGUGAUUUCACUUUUUUAUAACUAUUUUAUUUAUAUUGUAGACAUUUUGACAAUAAGCAUAACAUCGUUAAAGAUACAAAUGUAUAUGAUGUUCAAAACAAGGUAUUUUAAGAAUUUGCCCACAUAUGUAUGCAGUAGCUCAUCAAAAUGUGUGAAUGAAUUUUAAUAACUUGGACACAUGGUAUGCAUUCAGAUUUAACUAGUUAUAACUGGUGCUAGGAUGAUUUAAUAAAUGUGAGUCUUUCAAGAAACUGGAUAAUAAAAACGAGUUUGUAGCACCCAGUCAAAGUUGUCAUUUCAAAUCUUUCAUCACACAUAUACGGUACAAGGAGCAUACCGACAAUAUUAUUCAAAAUGAAUUAUUUUUAUCUGAAACACAAAGAACCAAUAAUUUCAGCUAUGGUCAUCUGUGUCAUAAAUAAUCGGAAAGGUAUUUAUCGUCCACCAAGUACAUUAAGCUUUCUUAUUAUAUUACGAUUACUUAAAAUUAGGUCAUUAGUUACUUGAAAGCAUCCUUUCCAUUCGUUUGAUAUGUUUGAGCUUUUGAUUUUGCCAUUUAACUUUUUUUGGCAUUAUCGUAAUAAUCAGAUGGCUGUUUUGAAAUGCUUUAUUAAGUUUAGUUUUGGAGUUUAGUCACUAGCAUCAAAUAUUUCGUCCUCUG